rnacentral:tRNA from 8 species
GGGGCAUUAGCUCAGCUGGGAGAGCGCCACACUGGCAGUGUGGAGGUCAGCGGUUCGAUCCCGCUAUGCUCCACCA